rnacentral:rRNA from 1 species
GACGAACGCUGGCGGCGUGCCUAAUACGUGCAAGUAGAACGCUGAAGCGAGGAGCUUGCUCUUCUUGGAUUAGUUGCGAACGGGUGAGUAACGCGUAGGUAACCUGCCUUUUAGCCGGGGAUAACUAUUGGAAACGAUAGCUAAUACCGCAUAACAAAGUGUGACACAUGUUUUAUUUUUGAAAGACGCAAUUGCUCUACCACAUGAAUGACUUCCGUUGUAUUUGCUAGUAGGUGAGGUAAUGGCCCACCUAAGCGACGAUACAUAACCGACCUGGGAGGGUGAUCGGGCACACUGGGACUGAGACACGGGCCCGACCCCUACGGGAGGGAGCAGUAGGGGAUCUUCGGGCAUGGGGGCAAAGCUGGACGGGCCACGCCGGGUGAGUGGAGGAGGGUUUCGGAUCGUAAAGCUCUGUUGUAAGUGGAGGAAGGAAGGGGUAGUGAACAGUUCACGCUGUGACGGUAGCUAAUCAGAAAGGGACGGCUAACUACGUG